GAAAUGCGAUAAGUAAUGUGAAUUGCAGAAUUCAGUGAAUCAUCGAAUCUUUGAACGCACCUUGCGCUCCUUGGUAUUCCUUGGAGCAUGCCUGUUUGAGUAUCAUGAAAUCUUCAAAGUAAACCUUUUGUUAACUCAAUUGGUUUCUACUUUGGUAUUGGAGGUCUUUGCAGCUUCACACCUGCUCCUCUUUGUUCAUUAGCUGGAUCUCAGUGUUAUGCUUGGUUCCACUCGGCGUGAUAAGUUAUCUAUCGCUGAGGACACUGUAAAAGGUGGCCAAGUUAAAUGCAGAUGAACCGCUUCUAAUAGUCCAUUGACUUGGACAAUACUUUUAUGAUCUGAUCUCAAAUCAGGUAGGACUACCCGCUGAACUUAAGC
rnacentral:misc_RNA from 1 species